rnacentral:rRNA from 1 species
GACGAACGCUGGCGGCGUGCCUAAUACAUGCAAGUCGAACGAAGUGGCGAACGGGUGAGUAACGCGUAAUCAACCUGCCCUUCAGAGGGGGACAACAGUUGGAAACGACUGCUAAUACCGCAUACUGAAGGAGGGGAUUGCGUCUGAUUAGCUAGUUGGAGGGGUAACGGCCGACCAAGGCGAGGAUCAGUAGCCGGUCUGAGAGGGUGAACUGCCCCAUUUGGACUGGGACACGGCCCAGACUCCCACGGGGGGCAGCAGGGGGGAAUCUUCCGCAAUGGACGAAAGUCUGACGGAGCAACGCCGCGUGAGUGAUGACGGCCUUCGGGUUGUAAAGCUCUGUUAAUCGGGACGCGGUACCGGAAUAGAAAGCCACGGCUAACUACGUGCCAGCAGCCGCGGUAAUUC